GGAGGCGUGUCCGAGCGGCCGAAGGAAACCGCCUUGAAAGCGGUCAGGUGUCACAGCCUCGGGGGUUCGAAUCCCUCCGCCUCCGCCA
rnacentral:tRNA from 1 species